GGUUCCCUUGCGUGGAAAUCGUUUCCUCUUGCUCGUUUCUGCCUUCAUUUCGCUGUACCCUAAAAGAACAAGCCUGUUUCAAAGUCAACGUAUAGGGCCCCAACUUAAAAGAAUUUGGAGCAAAUCAAAGAGUUGAAGAAGUGGGGCCAAGAAGCCCAUAUUAUUUUAUUCUUUUCUUUAUAUUUUGUAAUUUUUGGGCCUAAGCCCUUGUUGUAUUUCCUUUUGUAUUUAGUUUUUUAUUUAUUUAGUGAACAUGUGGAAAUGGGCCAAAAUCCCAA
rnacentral:misc_RNA from 1 species